GUUAUUUUUUGUGUCUGUUUAAUGAGUGGAUGAACACUUUGAAUCAGGUAAAAAAACUAAAUCCUCUUCUGAAGCCCAUAGCUCAUUCUUCAAUAUGAGCAUUAAUAUAUAUAUAAGAAGGAACAUU